GCCGGGCGUGGUGGUGCAUGCCUGUAAUCCCAGCAGCUCGGGAGGCUGAGACAGGAGGAUCAUGAGAAAAAGAGAGGCACCAAGCAAUUCAGUGAAAUCCUGUCUCUA
rnacentral:sRNA from 1 species